rnacentral:rRNA from 2 species
AUCAACUUUCGAUGGUAGGAUAGAGGCCUACCAUGGUGGUAACGGGUAACGGGGUGUUAGGGCACGACACCGGAGAGGGAGCCUGAGAAACGGCUACCACAUCCAAGGAUGGCAGCAGGCGCGCAAAUUACCCAAUCCCGACACGGGGAGGUAGUGACAAUAAAUAACAAUACGGGGUUCUUUCGGAUUUCGUAAUUGGAAUGAGUACAAUUUAAAUCUCUUAACGAGGAACAAUUGGAGGGCAAGUCUGGUGCCAGCAGCCGCGGUAAUUCCAGCUCCAAUAGCGUAUAUUAAAGUUGUUGCAGUUAAAAAGCUCGUAGUUGAAUUUCGGGAUCAUCAGGUUGGUCGUGCCUCUGGUAUGUACUGAUUUCGAUGGUCCCUCCUUCUUGAAGAGCCGUAAUGCCAUUAAUUUGGUGUUGCGGGGAAUCAGGACUGUUACUUUGAAAAAAUUAGAGUGUUUAAAGCAGGCAAUCGCUUGAAUACAUUAGCAUGGAAUAAUGAAAUAGGACGUUCGAUCCUAUUUUGUUGGUUUCUAGGAUUGACGUAAUGAUUAAUAGGGAUAGUUGGGGGCAUUAGUAUUCAAUUGUCAGAGGUGAAAUUCUUGGAUUUAUUGAAGACUAACUACUGCGAAAGCAUUUGCCAAGGAUGUUUUCAUUAAUCAAGAACGAAAGUUAGGGGAUCGAAGACGAUCAGAUACCGUCGUAGUCUUAACCAUAAACUAUGCCGACUAGGGAUCGGAUGAUGUUAAUUUUUUAAUGACUCAUUCGGCGCCUUACGGGAAACCAAAGUGUUUGGGUUC